rnacentral:rRNA from 1 species
GACGAACCGUGCGAACGUUGUUCGGAAUCACUGGGCUUAAAGGGCGCGUAGGCGGACCAUCAAGUCAGGAGUGAAAUCCCCCGGCUCAACCGGGGAAGUGCUUCUGAUACUGGUGGUCUCGAGCGGGGUAGGGGCGUGCGGAACUUCCGGUGGAGCGGUGAAAUGCGUAGAGAUCGGAAGGAACGCCGGUGGCGAAAGCGGCACGCUGGACCCUUUCUGACGCUGAGGCGCGAAAGCCAGGGGAGCAAACGGG